rnacentral:rRNA from 1 species
AUAUCAAUAAGCGGAGGAAAAGAGACCAACAGGGAUUGCCUCAGUAACGGCGAGUGAAGCGGCAACAGCUCAAAUUUGAAAUCUGGCCCCUCUGGGGGUCCGAGUUGUAAUUUGUAGAGGAUGCUUCGGGCAAGGCCGCGGUCUAAUUUGCUUGGAACAGCGAGUCACAGAGGGUGAGAGUCCCGUCUAGGACCGCGCGCCGCGUCCGUGUGAAGCUCCUUCGACGAGUCGAGUUGUUUGGGAAUGCAGCUCUAAAUGGGUGGUAAAUUUCAUCUAAAGCUAAAUAUUGGCCAGAGACCGAUAGCGCACAAGUAGAGUGAUCGAAAGAUGAAAAGCACUUUGAAAAGAGAGUUAAACAGUAUGUGAAAUUGUUGAAAGGGAAGCGCUUGCAACCAGACUUGCGUGGGACGGUUCCCCCCACCUUCUGGUGGGGCUACUCCGUCAUCUCCAGGCCCGCAUCGGUUCCGGUGGUCGGUUAAAGGCCUCGGGAAUGUAUCUACCUCCGGGUCGACUUAUAGCCCGGGGUGCAAUGCGGCCCACCUGGACCGAGGAACGCGCUUCGGCCCGGAUGCUGGCGUAAUGGUUGCAAGCGGCCCGUCUUGAAACACGGACCAAGGAGUCUAACAUCUAUGCGAGUGUUUGGGUGUCAAACCCCUACGCGGAAUGAAAGUGAACGGAGGUAAGAACCCCGCAAGGGGCGCAUUAUCGACCGAUCCUGAUGUCUUCGGAUGGAUUUGAGUAAGAGCAUAGCUGUUGGGACCCGAAAGGUGCGUCGCUCUCUUAUAUCCCCUUGUUGAUCAGAUCUAUGAAUUGUGUAUACUAACUGGUGUUGCUUGACAGAUGGUGAACUAUGCCUGAAUAGGGUGAAGCCAGAGGAAACUCUGGUGGAGGCUCGCAGCGGUUCUGACGUGCAAAUCGAUCGUCAAAUUUGGGCAUAGGGGCGAAAGUAAGUCUAUCCUCGUCAUUCCUGUGGGCGUGGCGAACUCCAAUGCUAACCGUUUCUAGGACCAAUCGAACCAUCUGGUAGCUGGUUCCUGUCGAAGUUUCCCUCAGGAUAGCAGUAACGUUUUCAGUUUUAUGAGGUAAAGCGAAUGAUUAGAGGCCUUGGGGUUGAAACAGCCUUAACCUAUUCUCAAACUUUAAAUAUGUAAGAAGUCCUUGUUGCUUAAUUGAACGUGGACAUUUGAAUGUAUCGUUACUAGUGGGCCAUUUUUGGUAAGCAGAACUGGCGAUGCGGGAUGAACCGAACGUGAGGUUAAGGUGCCGGAAUGUACGCUCAUCAGACACCACAAAAGGUGUCAAUGCAUCCAGACAGCCGGACGGUGGCCAUGGAAGUCGGAAUCCGCUUAGGAGUGUGUAGCCCUGUUGCACGCCAGCAAUUCGAUCUGAAUUAGUUGAGGAUGCUCAACGAUGGCUCUAUUGAACCGGAAUUCCCCGCCCGGGAUGAUCGGUUGUGAAUCUUUGAUUUACCUACAGACUAGAGAGAGCCGACCAUCCACCCCCGGGUGAUGGUUAAGAUAUAGUCGAUCGAGACCUCCCGCCGGAGAUCUUCGACGAGAACAACUCACCGGCCGAAUGCAUUGGCCCUGAAAAUGGAUGGCGCUUAAGCGUGCUACCUAUACCUCGCCGUUGGGGUUGAAAUGAUGCCUCAACGAGUAGGCAGGCGUGGGGGUUUGUGACGAAGCCUUUGGGGUGACCCUGGGUCGAACAACCUCUAGUG